CGGCGGACGGGUGAGUAACGCGUGGGUAACCUGCCUCAUACAGGGGGAUAACAGUUGGAAACGGCUGCUAAUACCGUAUAAGCGCACAGUACCACAUGGUACGGUGUGAAAAACUCCGGUGGUAUGAGAUGGACCCGCGUCUGAUUAGGUAGUUGGUGGGGUAACGGCCUACCAAGCCGACGAUCAGUAGCCGACCUGAGAGGGUGACCGGCCACAUUGGGACUGAGACACGGCCCAA
rnacentral:rRNA from 1 species